UGCGUUUACUCACGGAUGGCUUCCGGGUUAAAAAGAGACAGACAAGGUGGGGUUGACUCCCAAGAAGAGUGAGAAACUCUAAGAAACGGGUAAGGGAGACUAAGACCCUUCCAAGGAGCAACCACCAACGGAGCAACAGCCAGAAACAGACCAACGGGAGUUAUGGAGGAGGAUCUGACGCGGCCCUUUCAAAAUUCUGCUGCUGGGAUUAUAAUUAUAUUUUCUUUUGGGGAUGGACGUGGCUGGAAAGUGACCAAGAACAGAGUGAGACUCCCUGAGGUUAAUCCGAAGGAUGGGGAAACAAGUCUGACAUGGGUCACAUCAAUGCCAGGCAGUGUUCAUCAGUCCACCUGUCACUACCCCAUUGAUACAAAGCCGAGCUGACACCUGGUGGUACUGUGGCAGUAACACCCUUUGAAGCGCAUUACCAGGCACUUGUGCCUUGAUAAAUCUUGCUCUUCCGGUGAGUGUUGUUGCAAUUUCUGUAGACUCUGCUUGUCUCUCUCUUUCUCUCUCUCUUUGUCUGUUAUUCACAUUCAAGAUCAGGAUACCCCUGGCAACCAAUGUACAAUCAAUCAAUGCAAUCAAAGAGAGCAGUAGAUCACAAAUUGUGGGGGGGUGAUCCUACCUACAUCACUGCUUUGGGGUCCCCAAAGGUGUUCCAGACGAAUACUGGCUGGCAAACUAAGUUGCAGCUGGCUUUGAGAACAUCCCAAUCAUACUUGCACUGUCUGCUGUGACACCUAACAAGAAUGUUGACAGAAUUAAAUACAUACAUUCCAAUGUGCAAAGACUGGCUAACUAUUCUGAAGAGAUGUUCACAGCAGUCCAUGAACGGCUCAGAGCAACUUCCCUUAUUGCCUCUCAGCACAGAAUAGUCCUGGACAUGCUUCUGGCUGACAAAGGUAGAGUAUGCAGCAUGUUUGGAGACUCAUGUUGUACCUUCACCCCAAAUAACACAGCUCCCAACGGACAAUUCACAAAAGCCCUGGGGGGUCAUUUAGUAGGAACAUGAAGGCUCACUCUGGAUUGACCACAUCAACGUGGGACCAGUGGAUGAUGGUGUUUGGCAAAAAAACUGUUUUUUUAGUACUGUCUUGUGUUUUCAGAAAUAACCUUGACAGGUGCGUCACAACUGCUGCUUUACAGCACCCCCCACCUGGACCUCGCUGCACCGGGGCCGGGUGUGCACUGUGGCCAGUGUGCACCGACCACGUUGCACUGGGGGGGCCAGUUUAUGAGUAACGACCGCAAGGGGCCUGCAGGGAUGUUGGCUGCACACCCGACCUGUCUUGAAACACCGACCAAGGAGUCUAACAGUUUGUGUAAAUGUGUAGAAUUGAAUAAAAUCACAACCAUUUAUUAGG